CAUGCCCUGGACUUCCCCACUGAAUGGACUGUGGCUGGAGCCUACUCUCUGGCGCACCGUACUGCGAGGCACUACUGGAUACUCCUUGUGAAUGUGUGACCCGUGACAUCAUGCAGCCUCGGCUUGCAACCUGAAGACCAGAAGCCCACAGACAGACUGAUACUGACCUGCUGAAUGUGAAAAGCACCGAAGCUGGAGCUCAUUUCUGCAAGUUUACAAUACGAUUGUUAAUGAUAAGCAAGGACAGACUUGGUGGCACCGCUCCUGAAUGGAGGAGAUUGUCUGAUCCCCAUGGAGCCACCUCGAAGAAGGAUCCUAAUAUCACAUAUCAGUGAGAUGACCAAGUUCAGGGCCUGCACGACUGCUGCAGCUCAGCGCUGGAGCUCGGAUCAAUGGAAUACUGUUGGGAAUACAACGGACCACACCCACAUACUCAUUAGACCCUCUGAUUGGAUAUCACAUGGAUGUCUUGACCACUACCAUGGCUUUCAUGCAAAUUGAUGAAGGCCUGUACGCCUUUCCAUUUGCAAGCGUGUCGACCAAGAGUGACGUUAAUGGAGGUGGAGAGGAACGAACACAUCACAACGGCGGAUAAUUUGCUCACGUGGCUGGUUGACAGGGCAAAGAAACAGCUGUGAGGAGCCUUGAAGGUCACCCAACUCUGCUCCUCACCUGUGUCACAUCUGCCUGCCAGUGCCAUCAAGGUGCGUCAAUCUCCCACCCUGGCAUCUGUCUACCUGUGGCGCUAUGGCCAGCACGCUUCUACCAUCCCCCUACCCCUCGCACAUCUUGUUCCUUAAGGCGUCUGUCACUCACCUGUCAUUUCUUUCAUCAACUCCUGGCCUCCGUCUCCCGUCUUGCGCUUGCCCCGGCAAAGGUGGGAAGGUAACCAUUGGAGCGAAAAUGGUGACCAUUUUGUCCCAGUUCCAGGUUUAGCUGCUGCGAAGGAUGACACAUCAGUGAGGUGUUGACUGACAGCAGCAACAUGCUAAGCAGGUUUCUCUAUGGAAGCACUGGAGUUUGGAGCCUUGACAUGUUAAAUAUGUGACGCAUAAGAAUGUGACAUUUUCCAUCUAUUACAGAAACUCAAGUUUUCUUUUACACAAUAGAUCAAAACAAAAUUGUUAAAAAUGAUGAUGAUCUAUGAGAUGUGGUUGAAAGCUCCUGGAAAAAACUAGACGAUGAGUUAAGAUUUUUUUUGUCAUAUUACAAGGUCAAGAGUGAUCUUUCUUGUAGAAGUGUAGACUUUUGUAUAUUAUUUUACACCAUUGUCGUAAUAAAUAAAAAGUAAG